AUACGGAGGGUGCAAGCGUUACUCGGAAUCACUGGGCGUAAAGCGCGCGCAGGCGGCUUGAUAAGUUGGAUGUGAAAGCCUACGGCUCAACCGUAGAACUGCAUCCAAAGCUGUCAGGCUAGAGUGUGGGAGAGGAAGAUGGAAUUAGUUGUGUAGGGGUAAAAUCCGUAGAGAUAACUAGGAAUACCAAAAGCGAAGGCAAUCUUCUGGAACACUACUGACGCUGAGGCGCGAAGGCGUGGGGAGCAAACAGGAUUAGAAACCCCAGUAGUCC
rnacentral:rRNA from 1 species